UCAGACGAUGCGUCAUGCAUAUCAAUAAGCGGAGGAAAAGAAACUAACAAGGAUUCCCUCAGUAACGGCGAGUGAAGCGGGAAGAGCUCAAAUUUGAAAUCUUGAAAGGUCUACCUUGCACGAAUUGUAGUUUAAAGAAGUGUUUUCUGUUGAAGUUUUGGUAAAAGUUCUUUGGAAUAGGACAUCAUAGAGGGUGAGAAUCCCGUAUUUGACCAUUAUUUUCAGCUGUGUGAUACACUUUCAAAGAGUCGGAUUGUUUGGGAAUGCAGCCCAAAACGGGAGGUAAAUUUCUUCUAAGGCUAAAUAUUGGCGAGAGACCGAUAGCGAACAAGUACCGUGAGGGAAAGAUGAAAAGAACUUUGAAAAGAGAGUUAAAUAGUACGUGAAAUUGUCAAAAGGGAAGCGUUUAACACCAGUGUUGUUUUCUGAAAAUCAACCUCUGUUAGCUUUAUGCAUGUUUGUUUAGACCUAAUCAGCUAUCUUGCAUGUUCUAUUGUUUGCAGUGGUGCACUUUUCAGUUUACAGGUCAACAUCAGUUUUUUUUACCGUAAAAAAGUUAAAGAAAGGUAGCUCAUGGCUCCGGUCGUGAGUGUUAUAGUCUUUUUCCUAUGCGGUAGGAGAGACUGAGGUCUGCAGUGUAGGCUAUUUGGCUAGAUACUCAGGAUGCUAUGUGAUACCAUUUCAUAAACAACUUGUUGAUUAUGUUUUGUCUAUUGCAUACUCGCUUGUACUAUCAUACCUACGCUUAGGAUGUUGAUCUGUAGUGCGUGCGC
rnacentral:rRNA from 1 species